rnacentral:rRNA from 1 species
GACGAACGCUGGCGGCGUGCUUAACACAUGCAAGUCGUACGGUAAGGCCCUUUCUGGGGUUCACUAGUGGCGAACGGGGGAGUAACACGUGAGUAACCUUCCCACAACUUUGGGAUAACGCUACGAAACUGGUGCUAAUACUGGAUAUGUUCUUCUGCUGCAUGGUGGGGGUUGUAAAGCUCCGGCGGUUGUGGAUGGACUCGCGGCCUAUCAGCUUGUUGGUGGGGUAGUGGCCUACCAAGGCGGCGACCGGUAGCCGGCCUGAGAGGGUGACCGGCCACAGUGGGACUGAGAUACGGCACAGACGCCGAAGAGAGGCAGCAGGGGGGAAUCUUGAACCAUGGGCGCAAGCCGGAUGCAGCAACGCCGCGUGCGGGAUAACGGCCUUAGGGUUGUAAACCGCCUUCAGCAGGGACGAAGCUUUUUGUGACGGUACCUGCAGAAGAAGCACCGGCUAACUACGUG